UGCAUUGUUUAUCUCUUCCCCGCCGCUUCGUCAUGUUUGUAUGCAUCUUCUUGAUGCGUAAAUACCAGAAGAGGCAAAACGGAGAGACGGAAAUUUCAGGGAGAAUCAAGGGACCAGGAUUGAUUGACUUCAAGUAAUUUAAGGUAAAUAAAUCAUAUACUUGAGUUAUAUAAAGCUGAAUUGGAUUGAAUUGUAUAAACUUAUAGAGAAAAGUGAUGAGUUAGACAAUUACUAGUUGAGGAAAUAAAGUUGGACAGCUAUUAAUUAACUUGAUUCGAAUAAAUUCUUGUGUUUUGUUUGUUAUAUUGACUUGUAACUGAGCAUCUGUAAUGGGUAUACACAAGAAACUGGAAGAAUUUUAGCUUUAAUCACCAAGAACACCAUGUGCUGCAGGUAACUUUACGGCCAACAGUCAGCCUGAGCAGUUUUGAAAAAUCAACUAUAACUUAGUAUAGAAAAGUCAAAAUUGAGUGCUGACAAUAGCAUUUGAAACUAGAUUAAAAAAUCUUUCCAAAGAUACAAUAUUCUAGCUCUAGUUCAUUGUCUAUUAAUACUGGAAAAUUUGCAAAUUUGGCAUGAAAUCAUGACCUGCACAGCUAGGGACUGAAAAAUUGCAGUGACUUGCAGCUUAAUUUAGACUAGCUUAUGAUCCAAAUUUCUAAAAUGUUCUUCUAAUGAUCAUUAGUGCUUCAAGUCUAGUUUCUAACAGCACAAUUUUUGUGAUUUUUGACAUAUAUAACCCAAGUUGCAAAUUUUUAAAGGAGCAUCGUUAGUGAUGAUUUAACAAGUGACAGCACAGUAUUGACAUUAGAUUUCGUUUCCUCCCAUAUCAAUUGAGAUGAAUUAUGUUAUUAACUAUUUUGAGGAGUUUUAAGCCGAUAGUUAAUGUUCUAAUUUGCUAUUUUAGGGGAAGAUUAAGGGAGGAUCGGAGUGACUUUUGACCGGACCUUGAAUUAUCCUAGAAGUUGGUAAUUGGCACCUUCCUAUCUCUAUGGUUUUUGAAAUGUAUUCUAAAAAGGUUUUAUUUGCUAAUUGUUAUGCAAAAAAUGUAUUUUGUUAUAUUAAAUUGGAUUGAACAUAUGUAAUUUUUUUAGGACUAUGUACUUAUGAAUGAUUGUACUAUGUGUUUAAAAGUGAUUGUCAUUUGAUGUUUUAGACAUAUUGGACUUAUUAAAACAAGUAAAUGAUAGGAAAAGGCUUUAGGCUAUGUAAAUGCUGGUAUGGUCUUGCCACGGGAUGUAAUAGUGGGUAACGGUCCAAUCAUGGGUAUAAAGUGACACAUAGUAUGAUAUCAGGAGUUACAUUUUAAAUGGAAUAUGGCCCUAUCACGGGUAAAAAUAGUGAGUAAAGGCCCUAUUACGGGUAUAAAGCGACCAUAACAUGUUUUUUAAUUGAAGGCAAAGUGAGAAUAAGAAAAGAUCACACGGAUCAAAAUUAAAGAAUUACAAAAUAUGAAUUUGUACAUAAGUAUGCAUUACGUAUAUGUGAAAUGUCAAUUGUGAUUGAAUUACGUGAAAUGAUUUUAUUAAAUGUUAUAUUUUUUAUUAAUAUAUUCGAUCCAGUACAGAUAUGAAUCGACUUCUUAUUGAACAAGCCGACGCUCACCCCCACUUAAUUGGCUCUCAUGCAAAUGAGAAUCCGGUUUAGGAUGAGUUGAAGACUAGCUUUGAUCAAGUUAUAUUCUAGAGUUAAAUUUUGCUAAAUUGUAGCCUAUAUGACUUUUAUACCCUAGUAAUGUAUAUAUGUUGAAAGUUUAGUGUAAAGUAUCAUAUGAGUGAUUUUCUAUGUUUGGAACAUUUUUUAAGCACAUUCAAAGGAAUAUGUAAAUGUUGGUUUAUAGUUAUAAAUUCGAUAGACGGCUUUAUAUUCUCUUGGAAGGGUAUACUAGUGCCACACUUCAAAUUAUAAGUUAAAUAACUUUUUUUUAAAUAUGGUUAUCGGAUUUGGGACGUGACAAGGUGGCUUGGGGUUCAACCGUUACAUACAUGGAGCUACAACUGUUACUUAU
rnacentral:lncRNA from 1 species